rnacentral:rRNA from 1 species
UACAGAGGUCUCAAGCGUUGUUCGGAUUCAUUGGGCGUAAAGGGUGCGUAGGUGGCGCGCUAAGUCAGGUGUGAAAUCUCGGAGCUUAACUCCGAAACUGCAUUUGAUACUGGCGUGCUUGAGGACUGGAGAGGAGACUGGAAUUCAUGGUGUAGCAGUGAAAUGCGUAGAGAUCAUGAGGAAGACCAGUGGCGAAGGCGGGUCUCUGGACAGUUCCUGACACUGAGGCACGAAGGCCAGGGGAGCAAACGGG